CUACGGGAGGCAGCAGUGGGGAAUCUUGCGCAAUGGGCGAAAGCCUGACGCAGCAACGCCGCGUGCGGGAUGACGGCCUUCGUGGUUGUAAACCGCUUUCAGCAGGGACGAAAAUGACGGUACCUGCAGAAGAAGUCCCGGCUAACUACGUGCCAGCAGCCGCGGUAAAACGUAGGACGCGAACGUUAUCCGGAUUUACUGGGCAUAAAGCGCGUGCAGGCGGUGGCUUAAGUCGUGCGUGAAAGCUCCCUGGCUCAACCGGGAGAGGCCGCGCGAAACUGGGUCACUGGAGGACGGUAGAGGCGUGUGGAAUUCCGGGUGUAGUGGUGAAAUGCGUAGAUAUCCGGAGGAACACCAGUGGCGAAGGCGACACGCUGGGCCGUACCUGACGCUCAGACGCGAAAGCAUGGGUAGCGAACGGGAUUAGAAACCCUAGUAGUCC
rnacentral:rRNA from 1 species